rnacentral:lncRNA from 1 species
CAUAACUUCUCCUGUGAGAAAUCACCUGGCAGCGGACUACAAAGAAUGCCCUUUACUGAAGGAAUAUAGAAAGGAAGUGAUGAACGCAAACGGAUAUAAAUCAUUCAGGAAGAAGGAGAAUCUACACACUGGUGCUUCUUAAUUGUUGCCAAAGGAAACCUAACAAAAACUCAUGGAUUCAAUGGGAGUAUUAAUCAGCCAAUCAACAGAUGGCUAAUUGUACCACUGAAAAA